UAAGGUUCGAUUCGAGCGAAAGCGAGAAAGCGUUGCCGCAGGCAACGACCCGAAGGGCGAAGCGCGCAGCGCUGAGUCAACCUUCCCCCACCACCA
rnacentral:sRNA from 1 species